CGGGUAACGGGGAAUCGGGGUUCGAUUCCGGAGAGAGAGCAUGAGAAAUGGCUGUCACAUCCAAGGGUGGCAGCAGGCGCGCAAAUUACCCAAUCCCCGAUCGGGGAGGUAGUGACGAGAAAUAUCGAUGCCGCGAUAUUUUAUCCGGCAGUUGAAAUGAGGACAAUGAAGGGAUUUUAUCGAGAAUCUAUUGGAGGGCAAGUUCUGGUGCCAGCAGCCGCGGUAAUUCCAGCUCGAAGAGCGUAUGUUAAAGUUGCUGCGGUUAAAACGCUCGUCGUUGGACAUCAGGAAAUGGGCCGUAGACAACCAAGUGUUGGUACUACGGUUUCGUUCCUAAUUAAACGCUUGUUGACUGAUGAUGCACUUAACUGUGUGUCACUUUAGAGGGCCACUGUCACUUUGAGAAAUUCAGUGUGCUCAACGCAGGCUUUGUGCUUGAAUAAUGCUGCAUAGGAUGACGGAAAAAGGCUUCGGCUCCGUUUCGUUGGUUUUCGAAAGCAGAGGUCAUGAUUAAUCGGGACAGACGGGGGCAUUCGUAUUGCGGUGCUAGAAGUGAAAUUCCGUGACCAUCGCAAGACGAACAACUGCGAAAGCAUUUGCCAAGAAUGUUUUCAUUAGUCAAGAACGAAAGUUAGAGGAUCGAAGACGAUUAGAUACCGUCCUAGUUCUAACUGUAAACUGUGCCAGCUGGGCAUUCGCCAACGCCUUAUCUUGGCGAGCACUCUCCGGGAAACCAAAGUGAUCGGGUUCCGGGGAGAGUAUGGUUGCAAAAUCGAAACUUAAAGGAAUUGACGGAGGGGCACACCAGAAGUGGAGCCUGCGGCUCAAUUUGACUCAACGCACGAAAGCUUACUCGGUCCGAACACUGCGAGGAUUGACAGGUUGAAAGCUCUUUCUUGAUUCAGUGGGUAGCGGUGCAUGGCCGUUCGUAGUUGGUGAAGUGAUUUGUCUGGUUUAUUCCGAUAACGAACGAGACUCUAGCCCAUUAAUUAGCGUGGCGAUUCUGUGUCGUCAUUGUGCUUCUUAGAGGGACAGGUGCUGCUUAAGCACACGAAGCUGAGCAAUAACAGGUCUGUGAUGCCCUUCGAUGUUCGAGGCUGCACGCGCGCUACAAUGGAGGGUACAGAGCGCACAACGCUUCCCGGCAGGGACGCGGAACCGAAAAUGCCCUUCGUGACUGGGAUCGGGGAUUGAAAUUGUUUCUCGUGAACGAGGAAUUCCUAGUAAGCGCGGGUCAUUAUCUCGU
rnacentral:rRNA from 1 species